rnacentral:rRNA from 1 species
ACACCAGACUCCUACGGGAGGCAGCAGUGGGGGAUAUUGGACAAUGGGGGAAACCCUGAUCCAGCGAUGCCGCGUGAGGGAAGAAGGUUUUCGGAUUGUAAACCUCUGUGGACAGGGACGAUAAUGACGGUACCUGUCAAGAAAGCCACGACUAACUACGUGCCAGCAGCCGCGGUAAUACGUAGGGGGCAAGCGUUAUCCGGAUUUACUGGGUGUAAAGGGAGCGCAGGCGGCUUGGCAAGUCUGAUGUGAAAGGCUGGGGCUCAACCCCAGGACUGCAUUGGAAACUGUUAGGCUGGAGUGUCGGAGAGGUAAGCGGAAUUCCUAGUGUAGCGGUGAAAUGCGUAGAUAUUAGGAGGAACACCAGUGGCGAAGGCGGCUUACUGGACGACAACUGACGCUGAGGCUCGAAAGCGUGGGGAGCAAACAGGAUUAGAUACCCCCGUA